UUGGCACCCAAUAGGUGCUCAAAGAUACCUCGUUUCCCCCCAGGAGUUUUCCAGCCUCACCGUUUCUGCUUUCUCUGUGGACUCUGGUUGGCCCAAGACUCAAUGGGCCAGUUUAGGCUGGAUCUAGUCCCCCCCAGGGCGAAGCCAGGGUAGAGGAAUCAAAAGGCUUGGUAGGGGGGAAAGCCGGGCAGACCGGGGACAUUCAUCUUCUGAACAUUUAUGCUCAAGCGGUUCCGGGGAGCAUCUCGGAGUGGGAAGCAGCAGAGAGGUGGGGGCUUCCCGGGGCUAUUUGGAAACCCCGUCCCCUUCGAGCUCUCCCUCCCGCCGUCAGGCAACGUCACAUCUCCUGAGGACACCGGGGCCGUCGGCCGCCCUCCUCCAACCGGCUCCGCACCUUCCCCUUCCCCCGCAGCGGCCCCAGGCUCCCCUCCACCCCCCACCCCGGCAUCCCGGCCCCAAGCCCGGGGCCACCGCCCCCCCCCCCCCCCCGGCCGGCCUCGCCCUCCGGAGCCGCGGGCUAACCUCUUUUCCACGAUGACUCACCAUUAUUUUUAA
rnacentral:lncRNA from 1 species